UACGUAGGGGGCAAGCGUUGUCCGGAAUCAUUGGGCGUAAAGAGCGCGUAGGCGGCCCUGUAAGUCCGCUGUGAAAGUCAAGGGCUCAACCCUUGAAUGCCGGUGGAUACUGCAGGGCUAGAGUCCGGAAGAGGCGAGUGGAAUUCCCGGUGUAGCGGUGAAAUGCGCAGAUAUCGGGAGGAACACCAAUGGCGAAGGCAGCUCGCUGGGACGGUACUGACGCUGAGACGCGAAAGCGUGGGGAGCAAACAGGG
rnacentral:rRNA from 1 species